rfam:Ixodes scapularis strain Wikel colony gcontig_1108378880788, whole genome shotgun sequence.
GCCUCGGUGGCUCUGAGGCGAGAGCCCUGGCCUACGGAUCCCCAGGUGGCGGGUUCGAAUCCCGACCGAGGUG